ACAUUCCUCUCUCUCUCUAAAAUAGGGAGCCUAUUAGGGUUACUAGAUGGCCUGCGAUAUUGAUGGGUUCUUGAGAUCAUCAAUUCAUUAUCAUCGUCCACUCAAUUUAAAGGGUCCCCCUCUUAUCUUUCCACAGCUUUCUUGAACUGAAUUAUAUGUAAUUCAUGUAGUCCAUCUUCGACUACUAAUUUAUAUAUUCAUUCAUCCAUCAUUACAGUUCAAUAAAGCUGUGGGAAGUUAAGGGUAGAACCUAAAAAACCUUAAUUCCAGCUCUCUCUUGUUUGACACAUUACUGUCUUUUGUUUUUUCAAUGUUUUUUUUUGAAGAAAUUUAGUUUAAUCUGCCAAUUCCCAGAUCCAGAUCUGACAAUUCUUUACUGGGUAUAUAUUAUUAUUGUUUUUUAAAUCAGGGUUUACUUGUAGGUGCUAGAUUAGCAAACUAUCUUGUUUGGAACUUGAUCAUGGACUAUAUAUGAGUGGUUGUUUCUUCUAGGCUUGCAUGGCGGCAUUUCAGCAGGUAGCUUGAGUUUGGACUUCCAUGAAGACUAAAGACUUCAUUUUUCUUGACUUGUUUUGAGAAGAUGAUCUUAUUGUGUACUUAUUUAUUAAAAACCCUUGACAUAAAAUGAUGGAUAUUUAAUUAUAUGAAAUAAUAAACUAUAUAUUUAAUAAUUAGCUGGUAUAUAAUGGUGAUUUGAGACAAGUUGACAUCAUUCAAUUAUGUUUGAUUGGACCACAUGAACUAGU